rnacentral:rRNA from 1 species
UACGUAGGGGGCUAGCGUUGUCCGGAAUCAUUGGGCGUAAAGAGCGUGUAGGCGGCCAGGUAGGUCCGUUGUGAAAACUGGAGGCUUAACCUCCAGCUGUCGAUGGAAACCAUCUGGCUAGAGUCCGGAAGAGGAGAGUGGAAUUCCUGGUGUAGCGGUGAAAUGCGCAGAUAUCAGGAAGAACACCCGUGGCGAAGGCGGCUCUCUGGGACGGUACUGACGCUGAGACGCGAAAGCGUGGGGAGCGAACAGG